UACGAGGGGAGCUAGCGUUGUUCGGAAUUAGCUAGGGCGUAAAGCGCGUGUAGGCGGUUGCCCAAGUCGGGUGUGAAAGCCCCGGGCUCGAACCUCGGGAAUUGCAUUCGAGACUGAAUGAGCUAGGGUACGGUAGAGGGAAGCGGGAAUUUCCGGUGUAGCGGUGAAAUGCGUAGAUAUCGAGGAGAACACCAGCGGCGAAGGCGGCGCUCUGGGCCGGUACUGACACUGAGGAGCGAAAGCGUGGGUAGCAAACAGG
rnacentral:rRNA from 1 species